AGUGAACGCUGGCGGUAGGCCUAACACAUGCAAGUCGAACGGCAGCACGGCAGUAGCAAUACUGUGGGUGGCGAGUGGCGGACGGGUGAGGAAUACAUGGGAAUCUACCCUGUCGUGGGGGAUAACGUAGGGAAACUUACGCUAAUACCGCAUACGACCGAGAGGUGAAAGCGGCGGACCGCAAGGCGUCGCGCGAUUGGAUGAGCCCAUGUCGGAUUAGCUAGUUGGCGGGGUAAAGGCCCACCAAGGCGACGAUCCGUAGCUGGUCUGAGAGGAUGAUCAGCCACACUGGAACUGAGACACGGUCCAGACUCCUACGGGAGGCAGCAGUGGGGAAUAUUGGACAAUGGGCGCAAGCCUGAUCCAGCCAUGCCGCGUGAGUGAAGAAGGCCUUCGGGUUGUAAAGCUCCUUUGUCCGGAAAGAAAAGCUCUCGGUUAAUACCCGGGGGUGAUGACGGUACCGGAAGAAUAAGCACCGGCUAACUUCGUGCCAGCCGCCGCGGUAA
rnacentral:rRNA from 1 species